rnacentral:lncRNA from 1 species
CUGGAACUUUUUCUUUUCCGUUUUCCAUUUUCAUCCAUUACUGGUUGAUCCUUCAGAACGUUUGAAGUCUUCUGGUCUUUUCCUGGUAAUUCACUAUUGCUGUCAAUAUCUGAAGAACUGCGACUCAUCAUAGCUACUUCUUUAAGAACAGCUGGCAUCUCAUCAGAGUCAGAACUAUUAUCUAAUAUAGCUGGCUUUUUUGAUUUACAAAGUUUAUUAGGCCUAGGACCAUCAACUGUACUGUCAGAAGAGUUUCUUUUAUCUUUUUUCCUUCUUGAUUGUUUUGAUGAUCUUCUCUUUCGUUUUUCAUUACUUGUGUCAUUGCUAUCUUCUUCUGAAUUUGAUGUUAAAGGAUUAACAUCUGUUUGGCGCCUCAGAGGUGUGGUCUUCACACGGGGUGAUCUCCUGAGAUCAGAUUCCUCUGCAAGUGAGAGAGUUUCAUUCUCCGUGGAACGUUCGCUAUCAGCAUUACUACUUUGGUUUACAGAAUCACAUUUUUCUGUUCUUUCAUCCUUGCUUCCCUUUUCUAGACUGCUGUCAUGAUCUUCAGAUUUAACUGGAGACUCCGAAAGGGACACAGGAGUCAAUUUCACAAUCAAUUCCUUGGUUCCUUUAGCUGAUGCUUUCAGUUUAGAUCCCUUAGUAUCUUUCAAAGGAGUGGUCAAUUUUAUAUUCGGAUUCUCGUGAUCUGUUCCAGUAUUUCCAUUCCCUUGCUCAUCCGCUGCAGUCUGAACUUCCAUAGCAGAUUCUAGAGUCUCAAAAAUAUCUUCAGGAACAGAUGAGGGAACAGACACUAUAUCCAUAUCUAAAGCCUCUGUACUAUUAGGUUCAUACUGAGGCUCCUCAUUUGUGCCAGACCUUUUAUCUUCACCACUUGUACGUCUGCUGUCUUUUUUUCCUACUGUCGAAACAUCUUGAUCCAUUGGCUCAUUGUCAGGCUGUUCUGAUACAACUUUUUUCUGCAUCUUUACAGUGUCAUCCCCUUUUGAUGCCACAUGUUCCUUUCCUUCAUCUUUCUUCACCUCAUUUUUUUCUGAUCUAACAUCAGUUUUUUUUUCUUUGGUAUUUUUCUCUUUGAUUUUAACAUCCAAAGCUUGAAUCUCCAGGUUCAGACCUUCUUCUAGUGCCAGAUGAGCUUUUUUGAUGUCACCCAGCACAGAUCUAAAAGCUUUUAGCUGACGAAGUUGCACGGCUGGGCUUACUUCUGAAUUUUCUGCAGCCUUUUUCAAAAAGCUCACAAAGCUGGAAUUCAUAUUUGCUGUAGUCUCAACCAGUUUUUUUGUUUUCUUAAGCAUGUCUUUUGGCACCAUUAGGGCUUUAUAAGAAUAUGUUAGUGAACCUGAAUAUGAAUCAUCUAGUUUUUUUUCUUCACCAUUACAGUUUGAAUUAUUUCUCUUUGGAGAAAAUUUGACUGUAUUGUCAUAUAUUUUACUUUUUUCACUUUCAACUUUGGUCUUUUUUUUGUUCUGUUGCAGUAACUGUUCUAAAUUUUCAAAAACACUGUCACAAGCAGUGACCAAGUCCAAUAGAGGCUCUGGAUGACAGCUGUAGCAAUGCCACUGGUUAUUUUCAUCCAGUAUAGUUGAUAGCUCCUUUCUACCCAGGUUGCGCAAAAUGCACUUUUUACAGAAGGCGUUAUGGCAAAAGUCACAGCAAAUCAGAUUUCCACCUUCAGCACACCACCUACACUGUUCAUCCAUUCCAUCUGAAUCACGGCUAAUGUCAUCGCUCAUGUAAUACUUGUAGCAUGUCUUACAAAUAAGAACUUUCAAUGUAGGAUGUCUAUAGAUUGAAUCCUUCUGAAAAUGGUUCACCUGUUGCCCACAAGCUGUACAGCUUACAAUUCCAUGUAGUCCUUCCUCUCCACGCUUUUUGGGGACUUCAGGUUUCAUUUUAACGGUAUUUCUGCUUCUAAAUUCAGGCCCUUUAAAAUCAUCUUUGUCUUCAUUCAGCACUGGCUCAGGCUGUACAACCACUGUACCUUUAGGCAAGCUUUUCAUAUCAACAUCAUUUUCUGAGUUUUCAUUUGAAUUAUCUUCAUUUACAGUCUCAUCUAAGACUUGUUCAUCAUCUGAUCCAACAUACUUUGUAACAACUGUAGGUUUCCUUUUUGAACGUGACGAUCCUAAGAAUGUGACUCUUUCUGAAGAACUACCACCCUCUUCUCUGUUGUUCUCCAUUGAGGCUGGACUUCUUUCAGGUUCUCUACUUUUACCUAUGCUUUUGGUUUUAGAUGAUGCUGGAGGAGAGUUUGUGUCCUCAGAUUCCUCUGAUGAGUGAGCCAAGAAGUCAUGGAGUUUCUGCACCAAUGUAUUCAACUUGCUUUCACUCAUGGGCUCUGCGGUCAUGUCUCCGCUGCCGCUGGUCGGUGCGGCCGGGUCAGGCCGGGACCGCGCUCAGGCGCUGAAAGGAGACAAAGCCGUUAUUGCCGCCAUCGCCGCCAUCUUGUCGGAGAGAGGAUGAGGGAGACCUGCCUCCUGCCGCCUUCCUCUUUCGCCGACUCCCAUUGGCUCCUUGCCGCCCCCAGCGAUUUUCUAAUUGGGCCGCUCCGACGGGGGCUGUUGCUAGGGUCGUUUACGUCACGGUCCCGGCCUCCCCCGCUCUGAUUGGCUGAGGGGAGGGUUACAUCAGCGGGGGGGAGGGGGCUGACGUCAUGCACCAAGUCCCA